AAGCUCGUAGUUGAAUUUCGGGAUCAGCAUAUCGGUCAUGCCUUCUUGGCUUGCACUGGUGCUGUUGAUCUCCCCCUUCUAGCGAAUCGUUAUGUCUUUAAUUAGGCGUAACGGGGAACUAGGACUGUUACUUUGAAAAAAUUAGAGUGUUUAAAGCAGGCUUUACGCUUGAAUACAUUAGCAUGGAAUAAUGAAAUAGGACGGCAUGAUCCUAUUUUGUUGGUUUCUAGGGUCACCGUAAUGAUUAAUAGGGAUAGUUGG
rnacentral:rRNA from 1 species